GGUCAAAACUGGUUGAAUACUGGCAAUUUAACAUGGUUUGACCUGAUGUAUGCUGUGCAGUUAGAUGGCACAAAAUGAAAAUGAGCUUUAAUCCAAUUCAUGCUUCGAAUCACAGUUAGAGCCUUUGUUGGUCCCCACAGUUGCUGUAGCUUUUGGUCCUGGGUUAGAACUUUUGCUGAGCAGUUGGAGAGGCCAUUUUAAUUUUUUGUUUUAAUUCCCAAUGGAAUUUGGGGAACUAUCUUUCAGCUCUUUGCAGUGCCAGCCUUUUUCUCCUUUAUCUGCAUCCAUGCAUUUCACUGAAGUUGGUCAUAUAGAACUUGGGUCCCCAGGUGCACAAAAUGUGCCCAAGCCUUUAAUAGCAAGUAAAUCAACCAGUAAAGAGAAUUCUAACUUCAAUUUGUGGCCUUUAAAAAGUUGUAUCCAGAUUUAUCUCAGGGUCCUGAAGUAAGAAAAGGAAGAGUAUAUUAUAAAUGUAUUUCUUUUAAAGAGCCCCUAGAGGUAGAGGACACAAGAGAAAUGCCAACUGCCCCUUGUUCAACAUUCUUGAAGAUAAAUAUUUGUUACAUUUUAGUGUAAUCAAUUUAUAAAAAGAAACUUCUGGUUUUUUUUUUAAAAAGACUAAAGACAACAUAUACUAAAAUGAUUUGAAUUUUACAGAUGAUACCCUGCUAAUAUUUUUAGUUCAGCACCAUCUGUUUAUCUGAAAUUAAAUUUCUAGCAAAUGGUCAUGCCAGGAGAUGCUGUUUUUAUUUUUAUGUGCAGCUGAAACAGAGAAUAAUAAAAAUCUGCUUGAGUUGAAGAAAUAUGUUCAUAAAAUGUUUCUUUUUUAAUCUGAGUUGGCUGAGAAAAUGACUUUUUAAUCUAGUGGCAGCUGCUUUCAUUUGGCUGGUUUUCAGUCUAAAUAGUUUAUGUUGGAGACAGAUCAUUUGUUUUAUAUUUGGAUGUAGUAUAAUAAACAGUGUCUUUUGAGCUAUGAGGAAGACCCAGAUAUCACAAACAUCUUAUUCUCCCUAUUAGCCUACCUUUCUAAUUAUUUCUUGUUUCUUUAACCAACACAAGUGGCAUGCAAUAGGUCUGUAAAUUAAAAGUACAAGUGGCAAAUUGCAUAUCACCCGAUUGCUGUGUUAUUUUUAUUCAACUCUAAGAAAGUUACAUCUUACACAUUAAUUGGUGUUUGUUUACAGGAGGGAAAAACGAUGGCUUUUGAAAAUAUGACUCAGUGGAAACACUUCUCAUCACACUGGCUUGCAAAUAGAAUCACUGCACUCCCGUUGGGUACCAUGGGUGAUUCCACUGGGAGUGCGGAAUUCUUCCCAACAGAGUGUUAAUUAAAGAGAGCCACCUCUUGGCACCUCUCUCACUCCAGCUACACUUCACAAUCCUCCAGGCACCUCUUUAAUCAACAACAUGUGUUGGAUAUCUACUUUUAGUGUGAGGCACUGCAGCUACCACCCUGAUUUCAAAGGCAGUGGCAAGGACAGGUUUUAUUGCAUUACUUCAAAGUCAGGGCACCUAAAUCUACAUUAGAAAUGCCAUUAAUACCUGCCAUUGAUGUGGAAUAAUGGAAACUUUCCAAGUAAAGCAUGAAUUUCAUAGAAGAGAGAGAUCUUGCCUUUGCACCCCAGCACUUUGCUCAUAGGUCUCAUUAUGUUUAUCUAAUAAAACCACUUUUCUUACUGGACAGUAUUAAAUUAAUUUUGUGUGCCGACUUCUCUUAAUACUGACAAAAAGCAAUGUGUUAUUUUGAAAUGUAGAGGCUGGUCUUUGGUAAUAAACUUUACUCGAAAGUUUUUACUCAAAAAAGUGAAAUACAGUUUACUCAGGAGGCUGAGGCAGGAGGAUUGCUUGAGCCCAGUGGUUUGAGGCUGCAGUGAGCAAUGACCAUGCCACUGCAUUCCAACCUGGGUGACAGACUGAGACUCUCUCUAAAACAAAUAAAAAUGUCAAAAAAUAAAAUUAAUUUAGAAAAUAAAAUACAUUUUUAAAAAAAUAGGUGCUACAGAGUGGGUGCCUUAAAGAACAGAAAUAUUAUUUCUCACAGUUCUGGAGGCUGGGAUGUCCAAGAUCAAGGCCCAUGCAGAUUUGGUUGCUGGUGAGGGCUCCCUUCCUGGCUUACAGAUGGCCACCUUCUCCCAGUGUCUUCACUUGGGUAGGGGUGGGGGUUGGAGGAUAGAAAUCUCAUUCUCUUAUUCUCUUCUUACAAGGUCACAGUCUUAUCUGAUUAGGGCUCCACACUUAUGACCUCAUUUAACCUUAAUUUCCUCUUUAAGUCCCUAACUCCAAAUACAGUCACAUUGGGGGGUUGAGGCUUCAGCAUAUAAAUUUUGGGGGGACAUGAUUUGGUCCAUAGCAAUUGGACUGGCCUAAAAAAAAAAGACUUUAAUAUUAGGAUCCUUAAGUUACUAUUAAAAAAAAAACCCGACUUACAAAAAUUGGUGUUAAUAAUUUAAAGUUUGAAAGUACACUAAUCUGUGGAGUGUUAAAAGUCAGGAUAGUCGUUCCCUGGGGGAACAGCAACUGAAAACAGGCACAAAAGGGGCUUCCGGAAUGCUGUAGUGCUCCAUUUCCUGUUUGAGUGCUGAUUGAAAGAAUGUAAUUGGUUUGUGAGUAUCCAUUGAGCUGAUCAUACGUAAUUUGCGCACUUUUCUGUAUGUGUGUUGCAGAUCAAUCAAAAGUUAAAGCAUAGGCCAGGUGCGGUGGCUCACACCUGUGGUCCCAGCACUUUGGGAGGCCAAGGCGGGAGGAUCACUUGAGCCCAUGAGUUCCAGACCAGUCUGGGCAAUGUAGUGAGACCUCAUCUCUACAAAAAAAUUAAAAAAUUAAAAAAUUAGCCAAGUGUGGUGGCACGUGCCUGUAGUCCCAGCUACUCAGGAGGCUGAGGUGGGAGGAUAGCUUGAGCCUGUGAGGCAGAGGUUGCAGUGAGCUGAGAUCAAGUCCCUGCACUCCAGCCUGGGUGACAAAGUGAGACCCUAUCUCAGAUACAUAAAUAAAUAAAAAUUUAAAAUGAAGCACAAAUAAACCUGAGAGAUGCAUUUAAUACCAGAGAUAAACUACACAAUUGUCCCAUUGUCUCAGCCUAGACAAUAAACAAGCUGCUUCUCCUUUGUCCUUUCUACUUUAAAAAGUCACAAGAGGUUAAAAUGUAAUGAGUUGGAGUAUAUGAAGAAGACUAGCCUUCUAGUUGAGUAUAAUACCGUCUUCCCAAAGGUACAGGCAGAACCGCAGACACAGUUAACGUUUCUGCGUGACGUUGCUUGAUGCUGUUUUGCUCAGACUGGUAGCUUAGCAGCUGGAGGCUAAAAAGUCAGGUUUCCAGGGAGAGGAGGAAGGCUUUCUGGGCAAAGGGCAACGUGGACUCCAGGCCAGGGGCAUAGUCGGUGUCCUCUCAAGAGUGGUGGCAGUUUUAAACGGGUUAUAAACAAACACUGCCAUGUUGUUCUGAGAGGUUCCAGCUGCCUUAGGCAGAGGCUUUGGGUCUGUGCAAGCGCCAAAGCCGGCUUUCAGAGGUGAUGGGUGGAACUGAAGGAUCACUUAAGACAUUUGUGACCCUGAAUAUCCAAGUCCCUUGAAGCUUUACACACACACAUCCAAGGUAGAGCUGGUCUUCCCAAAGACAACUGCAGCUAAGGAGUUUGAACUGUGUAACAGUUUAGACCAGCCAGUGGCUGUGUAGAGACCUUUGAGAGUUACAAUUAGGUUACUGCUCAGAUUGCAUAAUGCCAGGACUGAGCUCCAUUGUUCCCAGCUCUUGCAUUCAGUAUUUUAUUGUUUCACAUUGUGCUUUAACUUGCUACAGAACAUUAACAGCAGUAGCCAGUAGUUGAAUGUUUUCCAAACCUUUCAGAUUUGUAGAGCUGACUGUGCCACACUGGCUAAUGGAAAUUUCAUGGUUCCAGGAGUGCUGGCUUUAUCAACAAUUAUCUAGGUGAUCUUGUAUGGUCUAUCGCGUGUAAAACAGCAUUAUGUGCUUUUGCUUAACCUUUAUAAUUGUUGAGAAACAAUUGUUUAAAAUUACUGCAUAAAUGUUUUUAAAGUAAAUUUUGAAGCUCUUUGACGUCAGUGCCCUCUGCCUGGUGGAAAGUAAUGAUUUUUUUUUAAUGUUCUGAUUUGGUGUUUGUUGGUGGAGUGCGUCUGUAUGUCUCUGUGUGUGUGUGUGUGUGUACUAGGAACAGGACCUAUCUGUUGGUGCUUUUACUAAAUUAAUAGAUUCUAGACAUUAAAGCAAACCAAAAAUAUUUCACCCGCAAAUAUACUUUUCUGACAUAUUUCGAGAUGGCUAUUCAGAAGGCCUGAAGGCAGGAAUAGCCCAGCAAAACUGCCUUUUGUGGAGGAGAUUUGCAUCUGCAGAGAAAAUCUGCAUUGGUGAAAUAAACAGCCAGGCUUUUUCUGAGGCUCCUCCCUUGUCUACAUCUAGGAAAGAUUGACUGAGAACCUGACACCUUUAAAGGUCUGACAGAAACAUUCACCACAGGCUACCAUCUAUUCUUUAUGAGGGCUGCUCCCUGGGAAGUUUCAUCUACAUAAAAAGAUGGCCUUUGCUCCAUGCCUUUCUUCCUCUUCUCUACCUCCCGUGACUUGCGUGCUCUAAACCCCUAUUCUUUCUGUAACCUUAAGACGGUACAAAAGCAUCAACCAUCUGGCCAUUUCUUUGCGUUUUCAUAUUUUGUAUGACUCCCAGCAUGUAAUAAAUAUUUAUGGCUUUUUUUUUUUCUGUUAAUCUUUGUAUUAUCAAUUUGUUUUAUAGGCUUAAAUGGUUGAAACUUCAGGGGAAAAAUGUAAACGUUUCUACAACAUUUAUGAUCACUUUAGGCUCUAGGUGUUGGUAAGUUUCUAAGCAUUUGGCGAUGUAGCUCUCUUUGCUUCACCAUUAACCGUCCUUUGACAUUCAAAAUGUCGUUGGACCACCAGCAUGGCAUUACUCAGGAGCUUGUUAGAAAUGCCAUCUCAGAGGCUUACCUUAAAUAUGGUAGCUAGUGGCAGAAUCUGCAUUUUAGCAAGAUCUCCACGUGAUUCCUAUGCACAUGCAAGUGAAUCAGCAAGUAGGCCAUGGAAGGGAUUAAGAGAUCUCUUUUCUCAAAACAUCGCCCACUGAGCCAGGAUUGUCAUUAUUUAGAAUGAAUUUCUCUAGUUUAUGCCCCUUUUAAGAAAUAUCCCUGGUCUGCAUACAUAACUCAGCAAGUCAUUUUCAGUUCAAAGCCUUCACAUGAUCCAUCCACUUGGGACAAAUGGCAAAGAGCAGGUUGAUUGGAAGGUUAGGGUUGGGGGAGGGAAGUAGAGUAGAAAAAUGCAGUGCCGGCUGGGCGCGCUGGCUCACACCUGUAAUCUCAGCACUUUGGGAGGCCGAGGCGGGCGGAUCAUGAGGUCAGGAGAUUGAGACCAUCCUGGCUAAUACGGUGAAAGCCCGUCUCUACUAAAAAUGAAAAAAAAAAAAAAAUUAGCCGGGCGUGUUGGCGGGCGCCUGUAGUCCCAGCUACUCGGGAGACUGAGGCAGGAGAAUGGCGUGAACCUGGGAGGCGGAGCUUGCAGUGAGCCGAGAUCGUGCAGCCUGGGCGGCAGAGCAAGACUCUGUCUCAAAAUAAAU
ensembl:lncRNA